rnacentral:rRNA from 1 species
AACGAACGCUGGCGGCAGGCUUAACACAUGCAAGUCGAGCGCCCCGCAAGGGGAGCGGCAGACGGGUGAGUAACGCGUGGGAAUCUACCCAUCUCUACGGAAUAACGCAUGGAAACGUGUGCUAAUACCGUAUACGUCCUCCGGGAGAAAGAUUUAUCGGAGAUGGAUGAGCCCGCGUUGGAUUAGCUAGUUGGUGGGGUAAAGGCCUACUAAGGCGACGAUCCAUAGCUGGUCUGAGAGGAUGAUCAGCCACACUGGGACUGAGACACGGCCCAGACUCCUACGGGAGGCAGCAGUGGGGAAUAUUGGACAAUGGGCGCAAGCCUGAUCCAGCCAUGCCGCGUGAGUGAUGAAGGCCCUAGGGUUGUAAAGCUCUUUCACCGGUGAAGAUAAUGACGGUAACCGGAGAAGAAGCCCCGGCUAACUUCGUGCCAGCAGCCGCCGUAAGAC